rnacentral:rRNA from 1 species
AUUGAACGCUGGCGGCAGGCCUAACACAUGCAAGUCGAGCGGAUGAAGGGAGCUUGCUCCUGGAUUCAGCGGCGGACGGGUGAGUAAGCCUAGGAAACCUGCUUGUUGUUGGGGAUUACGGUCCGAAACGGGGGCCAAUUCCCCCUACGGUCUGGGGGGAGAAGGGGGGGGUUCUUGGGCCCUAAGGCAUUCGGAUGACCCUAGGUCGGAUUAGCUAGUUGGUGGGGUAAGGGCUUACCAAGGCGACGAUCCGUAACUGGUCUGAGAGGAUGAUCAGUCACACUGGAACUGAGACACGGUCCAGACUCCUACGGGAGGCAGCAGUGGGGAAUAUUGGACAAUGGGCGAAAGCCUGAUCCAGCCAUGCCGCGUGUGUGAAGAAGGUCUUCGGAUUGUAAAGCACUUUAAGUUGGGAGGAAGGGCAGUAAGUUAAUACCUUGCUGUUUUGACGUUACCAACAGAAUAAGCACCGGCUAACUUCGUG